UCCUACGGGAGGCAGCAGCGGGGAAUAUUGGGCAAUGGGCGCAAGCCUGACCCAGCAACGCCGCGUGAAGGAAGAAGGCUUUCGGGUUGUAAACUUCUUUUAAGAGGGAAGAGUAGAAGACGGUACCUCUUGAAUAAGCCACGGCUAACUACGUGCCAGCAGCCGCGGUAAUACGUAGGUGGCAAGCGUUGUCCGGAUUUACUGGGUGUAAAGCGCUCGUAGGCGGUAUGUCAAGUCAAGGGUGAAAUCCCCGCGCUCAACGUGGGAACUGCCUUUGAAACUGGCAAACUGGAGUGUGUGAGAGG
rnacentral:rRNA from 1 species